AAAUUAAAGAAACAAAAGAAAGGAAAUAGAAACAGAAUGAAACGAAACAGAGAGCAGGGGAGAAAAAGAAAGAAAGAAAGGGAGAAAAGAGAAAUUGAAGGUUUGAAGCUUUAAGCUUUAAUGUCAAUGUGGUACCGAAAAUCUCGGCUAAGAAAGGACAAGACAAAGUCAGCGGAGUUAGCUCGAAAAUUACGGUUUGUAUUUCUAUAAUCCGAACUUAGUUAUUAUUUGUCAUAUUUAUAUACAUAUGGUAAUUGUUAGUGUUAGAAUUAUGAUGUUUUACAAUUGGAAUUGAUUGAUUUUGGUAUCGAUGAAUUUAUUGAAUUUAUAUUGAUUGAAA